CUGUGACUCCUACGGGGAGGCAGCAGUGGGGGAAUAUUGCACAAUGGGCGCAAGCCUGAUGCAGCCAUGCCGCGUGUGUGAAGAAGGCCUUCGGGUCGUAAAGCACUUUCAGUCGUGAGGAAGGUAGUGUAGUUAAUAGCUGCAUUAUUUGACGUUAGCGACAGAAGAAGCACCGGCUAACUCCGUGCCAGCAGCCGCGGUAAUACGGAGGGUGCGAGCGUUAAUCGGAAUUACUGGGCGUAAAGCGCAUGCAGGUGGUUUGUUAAGUCAGAUGUGAAAGCCCGGGGCUCAACCUCGGAAUAGCAUUUGAAACUGGCAGACUAGAGUACUGUAGAGGGGGGUAGGAAUUUCAGGUGUAGCGGUGAAAUGCGUAGAGAUCUGAAGGAAUACCGGUGGCGAAGGCGGCCCCCUGGACAGAUACUGACACUCAGAUGCGAAAGCGUGGGGAGCAAACAGGAUUAGACACCCUGGUAG
rnacentral:rRNA from 1 species